rnacentral:lncRNA from 1 species
UGGGGAGAUACUUUAAGCUACGUACAUACUCUGCUUCUGUCAGACUUUCCCCCUAGAAUUAGCAUUCAUUGAUAAUUCUUGCCCAAACCAACUUUUACUCUGAUGGUUGCAAAAUAGUUAUUUUCAUGGGGGGAGGGGGGAGGGAUAGCUUUAGGAGAUAUACCUAAUGCUAAAUGACGAGUUAAUGGGUGCAGCACACCAGCAUGGCACAUGUAUUCAUAUGUAACUAACCUGCACAUUGUGCCCAUGUACCCUAAAACUUAAAGUAUAAUAAUAAUAAAAUAAAAUUUAAAAAAAUAGUUAUUUUCCAACUCCAUCAGCUCCCUCCACAUUUAUUAAUUGGCAUUCUCCCUUCUCCUUCAUUCAUUUAAUUAAUUAAUUAAUUAUCUAUGUAUUAUCAGUGUGGAGUCAUGGAUUCCUAUGUUUUCAAUGGGUCAUAAUUCAUUCCUGGUCAUCUCCGCUGGGGGCACCAACCAGAUAAAGUAUACCUGUCUUAUAUGUUACAAAUAUUUUUUCACAGUUUGUCAUUUCUCUCUCAAAUUUAGUGUAUGUUAAUUUCUUCACUCAAGUUUUUCAUAUAGUCAGAUUUAUUAAUAUUUCCCUUUACAUCUGGCUUAGAGAUCUCUUCCCUACUCCAAGAUCAUAAACAAAACAAAAAUUCCAUGAUUUCUUCUUUUGAGACAGAGUCUCGCUCUGUCACCCAGGCUACAGUGCCAUGGCACCAUCUCAGCUCACUGCAGCUUCAACUUCCCGAGCUCAAGCAAUCUUCCCACUUCAGCCUCCUAAGUAGUUGGACUACAGGUGUGAGCCACCUUGCUGGGCUAAUUUUUAAAUUUUUUGUAGAGACGGGGCGGGGGUCUCACCAUGUUGCCCAGGCUGGUCUCGAACUCCUGGUCUCCUAUCACCUCAGCCUCCCAAAGUGCUGGGAUUACAAGCAUGAGCCACUGCGCCGGGUUUCAUGAUUUCUUUCACUACUUUUAUGAUUUCACCUUUAAUAUUAAAAUAUUUAAUACAUUUGGAAUUUUGGUGUAAGAAGGGUUAGUCAUUUGUUUGUAUAAAAUUCAUUCAUUCAAUAAUCCGCCACACACACACACACACAUAUUUUCGUUAUGUUCUAUAUUUCUUAUUAUAUCUUUUUUUCCUAUUGAAUCUUGAUGCAUCUUUUAUUGGAACCAUGGAGCCACAGAACUCCGAUUCUCGGCAAUGUGAGGUAUCAGGCUAUGACCUAAGGCUUGCAAGCAGAACUACCGCCAAUCUGGCCUCUCUGGGGUUCCCUUCCUCCUGCAAGGUUGCACCAAGCGGCAGUUCGGGGAAAUAGGGCCUUCAAUUACCCAGUGUGUAUCUCUUGAGUGUCUGUUAAAUAAUGGGGGGCAGGGCGGGGAGGAGGGGGAGAAGGAGGCUGUGCAUCAGUCUUUGUUAGCCAGGCAGAGCGUUUAUUUUCCAGGGGUUGUUUCCUUUAUCUUCGCCCUAACAUUCAAACUUGACUUGAGUUUUAGCGCGCCCCCGCCCUACCUCCUCCCAAAGCCCUUAUUUGCCCAUCCUUGCCUACAAGCUCAGAACGAGCAGGCAACGGAAUGGAUGGUGGUGGGAGCAGGCGGUUGAGAUGCCAGUGUUUGGAGGCUAAGGACUGGGGGCUGUGAGCGAGGACCUUCCCGCGUUUGCUCCGCGCCCCCGCAGUUUCCUCCGCGCCCACUAGAAGGCGCCGGGGCGCUCGCAUUCCCCGCGCGGAGCCGAAGCAGCCGCAACGAGCCGGGAGCUGAGCCGCGCUGCCCUGCGGUGCGAAGAGCCGGGCGGCGGCCAGAGCCCUCCCCGCGCUGCCAGUGGGACGCGGAGCCAGGGAUCCCCGGCUUUGCCCCCGGGGCUGGGGUGCAACAGACUCUUAACUUGGUCCUCGCGCCCCGCCAACCGCCCCCGGGCAGGAAACGCCCAGAACCACCACCGCGCCGCGCUCCACAAAAGCCCUGGGAGUUCCAAGACGGGAGGGGUCGGGCGCGCUCCAGAGGCAGGAGGGUCCCCCACACCCUCAGGCUCAUGCCCAGCUCCCCCAUCGGGCAGCCCCCAGCCCCAUGAGGACCCUCAGGCCGGGGCGAGAGCCCGGCACAGCCCGGACCGAAAUUUUGCCGCUGCCUUAGAGCGUUAGACAGGUCAGUGCCCGGGGUGGGGGGGUGGGGGGAUUGGUUGGUGAGGGGAGGAGGAGGAGGCGGGAGGAGGCGCGCUUCCCGGUCCACCCUGUCCCCCGCGCCGCUUCCCGAGGCCACUCAUCGGGUCACCUCCGCCGGGGGCGCCCGCCAGCACGGGCGUGAUUCUGCAUUUUUUCCUGACUGCCCUAAUAGAGCGGGGCUUUUCCGCUCACGCACGGCCGCGUCGAAACCGCGGCAUCCAGAUGUCUUCAGCAUUAAGAUGCCAGGCCUCGGGUGUGAGAGGAAACCGAGAUGCAGGAGAGGGCGAGAAGAAAGGAGGCCGGGAGACCCUGGGGCCUGGGAAGUGAGGGGAGGGGUACCGGGAAAACCGCGGCUGGCAGUGCAAACCCUAGCGCGAUGUGUGGAGUGGAGAGCGCUCUUGGGAGCCGGCAGGAGCCUCUGAGGACGCGGGGGCCAAGGGCCCCAUCCCUUGCCCUCCCUUCUUCCCUCCCUUUCUCACUCCCCACCCUACCCCCACCUAGGAUGUGGCUGGGCCGCCGGGCCCUGUGCGCUCUGGUCCUUCUGCUCGCCUGCGCCUCGCUGGGGCUCCUGUACGCGAGCACCCGGGACGCGCCCGGCCUCCGGGUACCUCUUGCGCCGUGGGCGCCCCCGCGAAGCCCCCGCAGGCCCGAGCUGCCAGAUCUUGCUCCUGAGCCCCGCUACGCACACAUCCCGGUCAGGAUC